GUCCACGCCGUAAACUAUGAUUACUCGUUCUCGGCGAUAUACGGUCGGGGACUAAGCGAAAGUGAUAAGUAAUCCACCUGGGGAGUACGAUCGCAAGAUUGAAACUCAAAGGAAUUGACGGGGGCCCGCACAAGCGGUGCAGCAUGUGGUUUAAUUCGAUGAUACGCGAGGAACCUUACCAGGACUUGAACGCAUUUUGACAGAUUGAGAAAUCAGUCGUUCUUCGGACAAUUUGCGAGGUGCUGCAUGGCUGUCGU
rnacentral:rRNA from 1 species